ensembl:lncRNA novel transcript
GGUUGGGGUAGGCCAUGGAAGUUCUUUUCUGGUUCUAUUUCCUCAGUGAAAUAAUGCGCUUUCAAAGGGAAACUCAUAUAGUAGUGCUGGAAGUGUAAAUGAGCCUUUUGAUAUUAGGUUUCCCAGUCUGGCAGCUGGGCAUCCUCCUCCCCAAAGCAAGAGUACCGGGAUAUGCCAAGGGGUUCUUAAAGCUGGAACUCAUGGAUUUCCCUGGCUGAUUGGAGCAUCACUGCUGCCAGCAAAGCCCAAGGUGUGAGCUCUACAUUAUGCUGAGAUGGCUAUGUACAAGUAUAUCCAGAAUGACGGUGGAUACGUUGAAAGUCCAAUCAACUGUGCUAAAUCUUGAAUCAGUUCUCUCUGUUGCCUUUUGCAGGGCAGCCUUACCAUCUCCUUUUAAGAACAGAAGUCUUUUCUUUCUGCCUCUUAAAGUCAGUAGCUGGUUUGUCACCCAAUAACAAAAGCCCACAAUAUCCUGACCUCAAAGACUAGGAAGUAAAUAAGGAAAUAUGGAGUAAAAGAGUAAUCUUCCUGCUGAGCAUGUUUUGCGGUUGCCAGCGCUGCCCCGGGUGUGUCUGGAGGAACACUCCCUGUUGCCUAACAACUGCUGUAAUGUAACGGAAAUAGAAGCACGAUGCCACACAUCCCUCAGAAAACGACUUGGCCCUUGGCCCUCCUGUGGAUGAAGAGUAUAUUGAAGAGAAACUGGAUAUUUCUAAAUUUGCUAAGACUCGCUUUUCUCACUUGCUCUCAGAUCACACUACUUUUGAGUAGCCCAAAAUUUUGUUGCCAACUCAGCAAGUUAAGCAAACAAUAUUACAAAUCAUGUUGAAACUGAAGUGGUCCCCAUGGGCCAGUGAGUACGGUGCAGGUGGAGAAAAAAUUAGCUGCUGAGUUAGGACAAACUGCUCCAAUUUUGAAGGCACAAAUGGGCAUCAUCUUGGGCCCGGGUACUACCCAAGGUGGACCUCUCAAUCAGGCUCUUAUGCUCCCAGGUGUAGUUGUUGGGUGAACUCUCUCCCUGGAUGCUCAGGGACAGCAUCUCAGAGAGAGGUGAAUGGAAAAACCAUGAGACCCUGUACACACUCUAGGUGCAAUGGAUUACAAGGGUUGAUAGCUCUUCUUAGUAACCGAAAGCCUAUAUGCUCCAUCUUUCUUGAUGGCAAGGUCCCUGGGAAGGAGACAUUCUCUUAGAAUGUCAUUAAAUGACCAUAGAAUAAGCAUGAAGUGAGUGGAAUUAUGUGGAAGGGAUUCAGCAUUUUACCCAAGCACUGGGCAGCCCCUGGGUGUGGCUGUCCCUCCACAGUGGCCUGUCUGUCUAAGUCUUGACCCACCCACCCAGAUCCUCUUGGAAGCCACUGAUAGCAUUUGCCUCUGGGAAUUCUGCAGCCUUUGCUGAUGAGUCUCAGUUGACACCAUCUAUCAUUGCAGAUACAGAUGUCUCCAAAAGGCAAUUGCCAAAGGCUGUGCCACACAGCACACACCUGUCCAUGUGCAGAUUGAUUCUGUUAAACUCUUCAGCUAUCUUGUGGGCUGCUUUUCCCUGCCUCAUUAUCUGCCUGCAGACCUUCCUUCUGUGUUCUCUGCUCUUAGAGGUCAGAUUGAUCUGUAUUUUUAUCAAGAUGAGGAAGGAGAUGGUAGACUGUGAAUCAAGGAUCUACCUCUCCCAGUAAUUCACUGUGGCAUCUUGGGGCACCUGCUGGCCCUCUCUGAGCCUCCAUUUUCUUACCCACGAAAUGUGGAUUUGGACCCAGUUAUCUCCAACCACCCAAGAGUCUGUGAUUCUGCUACUAAGAAAAGCAAAAGGCAAGUACAAGAUAGCAUGUGUUUAGUUGCUGGGGAAAGCUCAGUCUAAUAUUAAAAAUAAUAAGUAUAAAAAUAAUCACCACCAUUCACUCGAGCUUGCUUUGCCAGUUCUGCACUGUGAUCUUUGCAGGGGUAAUCUUACUGAAUCCUCUGCUCCAACCCUACCAGGUGGGAACUACUUUUAUCUUUAUUUUUCUGAUGAGGAGAUUGAGCCUCAGAGAUGUUAAGCAACCUGCCGAAGCAGAGAGUUAAUAUGUCGGGAUUCAUCACAGGCAGAUCCCUCUGCUCUUGGGAAGCCCAGACCUCAGAAGCAGGAGUGGGUCUGAUUCAGGUGUGCUCUGAGGGCCAGCUGUCCUUUCCAAAAAUGCCUUCCUUUAUUUAGACACCAACAUCCUUGCUAUUUUGGAUUUUUCAAUGAGCUUCCUUAUUUUCUCCCUAUUCUGUCCUAUUCAGCAAAAUGAAUGAAUAAAUAUAGGUUCCUAAUGUUACAAAUUUAAUUUUCUUCUAGAAAUGAAAGUGUUUAUUUCUCUUCUUUUAUUUCUCAAGCCAAAAUAAUUAUUUCCUCCUUCUUAGAAGUCCAGGAAUAGGUUAAACUUUAAUUAAAAGUCUUAUGGUUCAACAGUUGGAAUGAGGAUCAGGUAAUAACGAAGAAACCCCGUAAACACCCUGAGGAGAACCAGCACCCCCUCCAUUGGUUGUUUUAGCUCAGCCCACAGCUAACAGCUCAGCUCAGAAAGUUCCUACCACCCACUCCGCUUCUAACGCCUUUUAAUAUUCGCACAGAGUUUUCUCACAUUGUGGCUCUCACACACUUCCUUUAUACAUGCUGUUUCCUCAGCCUGGAAUGCCACCUCUUUCUUUACCUGGAGAACCCCUGUCCCUUAAAGACGCAGGUCAGAAGUCACGUAGUACUCCUCUGCUACCACCUAAUGCAAAGCGUGAUUAUUCCUUCACUUCUCUUCUGCAUUUAAAUUAUUGAGGGAAGAGGCUUGGUCUCAUUGCCUUUGGAAUAGCUCUGGAUCUGCGUUCAUGUUUUGUAUAUAAUACGACU